UACGUAGGGAGCAAGCGUUGUCCGGAUUUAUUGGGCGUAAAGAGCUCGUAGGCGGCUUGGAAAGUCAGGUGUGAAACCUCCAGGCUCAACCUGGAGACGCCACUUGAUACUUCUAUGGCUUGAGUUCGGUAGGGGUAAGCGGAAUUCCUGGUGUAGCGGUGAAAUGCGCAGAUAUCAGGAGGAACACCGAUGGCGAAGGCAGCUUACUGGGCCGAAACUGACGCUGAGGAGCGAAAGCGUGGGGAGCGAACAGG
rnacentral:rRNA from 1 species